AGCCCUGUUCCCCAACCUGAUUUGAAAUUUAUGCUGAUGAAACAAGAGAGAUUUUAAUAUAUGAUGGAAGGAAGUUGGAUUAACAUUGAUCUUCCUGGAAGGAUGAGUGCUCCAUCAUAAGCCAAUUUAACUGGUGAUCCUCUUUUGCUUGCCCCUGUACUACCAAGGCUCAGCUCUUCAUUCUUUAUGAAGCUUUCCUCGAACAGAGUGCACCUGCUGCCCCAGAGACCCAUUGUACAUUGUAUGACAACUCUGAUGCUCACAUUCAAUCAUUGGCCCCAUAAAGUUUGGCCUGGCCAUGAAAUCAUAAUCCCCUUUCCCUCUUCAGUGAGUAUUCAAGUUCUCUUUAAUAUUAGCUUGUGCAUACAUUAAGGAUGGUGUGUGGGAGAGGCUCUGUAAGAACUCAAAUGCAUAUAAGGAAUAGUGCUGCCACCUUCCUGAAAAUGCAGGACAGUUCUCUCAUUCCGGGCAUUGUAAGAAAGCUCCACCUUCUCUCUCUCACCUUGGGCACUGUCUGACCACUAAAUAGUCCCAGCAAUGACUCCACAUCUUAACAUCUAUAAUUAGUGAGAAUUGUCUUACUCUUCCCCCUCAUUUAUAUAGUUCCAAUGGUGCUUUACAGAGAAGGAUCGAGGCAAGAUCCCUGCUUGGAGACUCUACAAUCUCUGCAGACAAUGAACUGGUGAAAAAUGUAAAGCCCAUUAUUCCCCUCCCUAUAGUUCUUUGUCUGCUAUUCCUGCCUCCUCAACCACAGCAAAGAGUCUUCUAUUUAUUG
rnacentral:lncRNA from 1 species